rnacentral:rRNA from 1 species
GGAAGGAGAAGUCGUAACAAGGUUUUCCUAUGAUCCUUCGCGCCCAACAGGGUUCGAGUCGCACGGAAGCCUAAGCGGCACGAUGCAUUUAACAUGCCGUGCACGCUAGUGCCAACAAAUUUGUUGGUGCGACGUCGUCAAAUUGCGGGGAACGUUUGCAUCUUUUGGGUACCAAGCACGGCGGAUGCAACUUUUGUUGUGUUUGAGUGUGGCCGAGUAAAUGCGCUCGGGUAUGGUAAGAACCCUGAAAGAUUGGAGGAAUUCCACAAGCCGACCCGCAGCCAAUCCUCUAACUAAUGGAGGAGCUGCUCACAGACUAAAUGGCGACGGGUCUCUUCGAGGCUCAAGAUAUAGUCGGGACAUGCUUGUGGGCAUGACUAUUCAACACUUGUUCCGCAAGANAUUCACCGUUCCGUAGGUGA